GAAAAAUUGACUUGAAAUUAGCAAAUCAGGUAGUGAAAAUGGAAGACCAAAUUGCAGCUGAGGUUGAAAGAAGAUUGAAAGCUAUGAAUUUAGGUACCCAGACUGUUGCUCAAGUUCAACCGGUUCAGACCAUGAUUUGUGAGAUUUGUAGUGGACCACACUUUGCCAUGCAUUGUGCUGCAACCGCAGAACAAGUGCAAGCUAUAAAUUACCUGAGGCAGAAUAAUCCCUACUCAAAUACAUAUAAUCCG
rnacentral:lncRNA from 1 species